AUCAAAACCAGUAUUGGGAAAAAAGCUAUUUGCUAUGCUGUAUUUCUCUGUCAUGCAUGUAGUGUAAAAUAAAGGUUCAAUAAGUGUAGUUAACAGUUAUCCUUGCAUCUUAUACUUUUUCCUUGUACGCAAACACACACACACACAAAAAUAAAUGAUUAUAUCCAAAAGAAACUCUUAAGUUCAUUAAAUAGCUAAUAAGAUAUUCAAUACAACUUCAUAAAUUAAUGUAGAUUCAUUUUUUAUAGAAAAUUAGAGACAUGUAUGAACUAAAAUGUACACUUUCAUGGGAACAUAUUGGAU
rnacentral:lncRNA from 1 species